rnacentral:lncRNA from 1 species
CCAUAAUCUCAGAGACUCUGGAGGCUAAGGCAUAGGAUGAUCAGAAGUUUGAGGCCAGCCUGGCAACUUAAGGAGAUCGUGUCUCAAAAUAAAAAAUAAAAAGGGCUGGAGAUGUAGCUUAAUGGCAGAGUGGGUUCAAUCCCCGGUACUGCAAAUAGAUAGAUAGACAGACAGACAGACAGACAGACAUAUAUAUCUGUGGGUAAUUAGGCAAGAUCCAGAAAUAAUUUUUCAUACAUACAUGCAAAUAAACACAAUACCAUCUUUUCAUGAAUAAAAAGAAGUGAUAGAAUUUGAUAUAUUAGCAUUCUGUACACUUCCAUUGCAGGUCUAGGGUAUGAACUUUUUUAGAAAGAAAAUCAUAUAAAAGUCUAAAGCACUGAAAUAAAGCAAAACAAAUCAGAUUUAUCCCUAGUUUUAUGAACUGAUUUAUAACCUAAUGACUCAGGUGUACCCACACAGUGUGACUUGGCACUUGCUUUUCCCCGUGAAUUUCUUAGCAAAGCCUUUUUUGUGGUAAGAUUUCCCCUACCUUUUCUUCCUCUGCCACCUUCUACAGAAUGCUGUGUCAAAUAUUUUCUGUGACUCAGUUUGAGUCACAUUUUCAAAAACUCUUUCUUACUCAAGCCUCAUGCUUUCUCACUAACUAAAAGGAAACAAAUCAAGGCUGUCUCCCAUUAUCUCCAUCCAAAAAAAGUGUGCAGUUUCUCUUCUAGAGAGGAGACAUUGCACUAACAAUGUAUUAAAAGAGUUAUUAAGUUUUACACAUGAAACAUGAGGACAGCACCAAAAAGUUCUCUGAUAAACUGAAACUACUUUUCCUCACACUUUUUCUAUGUUGCUGUUUAAUGUUUUAAAGAAACAACAGCAGGGUAGAGAAAACUAGCAGUCACACGCUCUGUGAGUUGGAAGACCCAAGAUCUGGUCCUGGCUCCCCCAAGUACCCAUUUACUAGCUCUGAACAUCACUUUCCUCAUCUGUAAAAUAAGGAGUUUGAGGCCAUCUCUGCAGUUUUUCAUUUGUGUGUGUGUGUAUGUGUAUUUGUUUGAGGGGGGUAUCACGGAUUGAACUUAUGGACACUCAACCACUGAGCCACAUCCCCAGCCCUAUUUUGUAUUUUAUUUAGAGACAGGAUCUCACUGAGUUGCCUAGGGCCUCACCAUUGCUGAGGCUGGCUUUGAACUUGAGAUCCUCCUGGCUCAGUCUCCUGAGACGCUGGGAUUACAGGUGUGUGCCACCAC